AUUGAACGCUGGCGGAAUGCUUUACACAUGCAAGUCGAACGGUAGAGGGGCAACCCUUGAGAGUGGCGAACGGGUGAGUAAUGUAUCGGAACAUGCCCAGUCGUGGGGGAUAACGUAGCGAAAGUUACGCUAAUACCGCAUACGAUCUAUGGAUGAAAGCGGGGGAUCGCAAGACCUCGCGCGAUUGGAGUGGCCGAUAUCAGAUUAGGUAGUUGGUGGGGUAAAGGCCUACCAAGCCGACGAUCUGUAGCUGGUCUGAGAGGACGACCAGCCACACUGGGACUGAGACACGGCCCAGACUCCUACGGGAGGCAGCAGUGGGGAAUUUUGGACAAUGGGCGCAAGCCUGAUCCAGCCAUUCCGCGUGCAGGAAGAAGGCCUUCGGGUUGUAAACUGCUUUUGUACGGAACGAAACGCGCUGAGCUAAUACCUCGGCGUAAUGACGGUACCGUAAGAAUAAGCACCGGCUAACUACGUGCCAGCCGCCGCCGUAA
rnacentral:rRNA from 1 species